rnacentral:rRNA from 1 species
AUUGAACGCUGGCGGCAUGCUUUACACAUGCAAGUCGAACGGUAACAGGCCGCAAGGUGCUGACGAGUGGCGAACGGGUGAGUAAUGCAUCGGAACGUGCCCAGUCGUGGGGGAUAACGCAGCGAAAGCUGUGCUAAUACCGCCUACGAUCUAUGGAUGAAAGCGGGGGACCGUAAGGCCUCGCGCGAUUGGAGCGGCCGAUGUCAGAUUAGGUAGUUGGUGGGGUAAAGGCCUACCAAGCCGACGAUCUGUAGCUGGUCUGAGAGGACGACCAGCCACACUGGGACUGAGACACGGCCCAGACUCCUACGGGAGGCAGCCGUGGGGAAUUUUGGACAAUGGGCGCAAGCCUGAUCCAGCAAUGCCGCGUGCAGGAAGAAGGCCUUCGGGUUGUAAACUGCUUUUGUACGGAACGAAACGGUCUGGGUUAAUACCCUGGGCUAAUGACGGUACCGUAAGAAUAAGCACCGGCUAACUACGUGCCAGCAGCCGCGGUAACAC